UUAUUGGAGAGUUUGAUCCUGGCUCAGGACGAACGCUGGCGGCAUGCCUAAUACAUGCAAGUCGAGCGGACUUGAAGAGAAGCUUGCUUCUCUGAUAGUUAGCGGCGGACGGGUGAGUAACACGUAGGCAACCUGCCCUCAAGUUUGGGACAACUACCGGAAACGGUAGCUAAUACCGAAUAGUUGUUUUCUU
rnacentral:rRNA from 1 species